rnacentral:siRNA from 1 species
ACAAAACUUAUACAACAGAUGCA